UACGUAGGCAGCGAGCGUUGUUCGGAGUUACUGGGCGUAAAGGGUGUGUAGGCGGUUCUUUAAGUUUGGUGUGAAAUCUCCCGGCUCAACCGGGAGGGUGCGCCGAAUACUGAGGGACUAGAGUGCGGGAGAGGAAAGUGGAAUUCCAGGUGUAGCGGUGAAAUGCGUAGAUAUCUGGAGGAACACCGGUGGCGAAGGCGGCAUCCUGGACCGGCAUUGACGCUGAGGCGCGAAAGCCAGGGGAGCAAACGGG
rnacentral:rRNA from 1 species